UGGGGAAUCUUGCACAAUGGGGGCAACCCUGAUGCAGCGACGCCGCGUGAGCGAUGAAGCCCUUCGGGGCGUAAAGCUCUUUCGACCGGAACGAUAAUGACGGUACUGGGAGAAGAAGCUGCGGCUAACUACGUGCCAGCAGCCGCGGUAAUACGUAGGCAGCAAGCGUUGUUCGGGGUUACUGGGCGUAAAGAGUGCGUAGGCGGUUUUCUAAGUUCGGUGUGAAAUCUCCCGGCUUAACUGGGAGGGUGCGCCGAAGACUGGGAAGCUGGAGUGUGGGAAAGGCAGGCGGAAUUCCUGGUGUAGCGGUGAAAUGCGUAGAUAUCAGGAGGAACACCGGCGGUGUAGACGGCUUGCUAGACCAUAACUGACGCUGAGGCACGAAAGCGUGGGUAGCAAACA
rnacentral:rRNA from 1 species